GCUCUCGUGGGCUAGUUGGUUAAUGCGUCGUGCUUAUAAGCAGUGCUGGAGUAUAUGCGAAAGUCGAGGGUUCGAUCCCCUCUGGGAGCA
rnacentral:tRNA from 1 species